UGGGGAAUAUUGCACAAUGGGCGCAAGCCUGAUGCAGCCAUGCCGCGUGUAUGAAGAAGGCCUUCGGGUUGUAAAGUACUUUCAGCGGGGAGGAAGGGAGUAAAGUUAAUACCUUUGCUCAUUGACGUUACCCGCAGAAGAAGCACCGGCUAACUCCGUGCCAGCAGCCGCGGUAAUACGGAGGGUGCAAGCGUUAAUCGGAAUUACUGGGCGUAAAGCGCACGCAGGCGGUCUGUCAAGUCGGAUGUGAAAUCCCCGGGCUCAACCUGGGAACUGCAUUCGAAACUGGCAGGCUAGAGUCUUGUAGAGGAGGGUAGAAUUCCAGGUGUAGCGGUGAAAUGCGUAGAGAUCUGGAGGAAUACCGGUGGCGAAGGCGGCCCCCUGGACGAAGACUGACGCUCAGGUGCGAAAGCGUGGGGAGCAAACAGG
rnacentral:rRNA from 1 species